rnacentral:rRNA from 1 species
CCUACGGGAGGCAGCAGUGGGGGAUAUUGCACAAUGGGGGAAACCCUGAUGCAGCGACGCCGCGUGGGCGAAGAAGUAUUUCGGUAUGUAAAGCUCUAUCAGCAGGGAAGUAGAAAUGACGGUACCUGAGUAAUAAUCACCGGCUUAAUACGGGCCAGCAGCAACGGUAAUACGUAUGGUGCAAGCGUUAUCCGGAUUUACUGGGUGAAAAGGGAGCGCAGGCGGGAAGGGAAGCCUGAUGGGAAAGCCCGGGGCCCAACCGCGGGACUGCAUUGGGAACUGCCGGGCUGGAGUGCGGGAGAGGUAGGCGGAAUGCCUAGUGUAGCGGUGAAAUGCGUAGAUAUUAGGAGGAACACCAGUGGCGAAGGCGGCCUACUGGACGGUGACUGACGCUGAGGCUCGAAAGCGUGGGGAGCAAACAGGAUUAGAUACCCCUGUAGUC